GUGGGGAAUAUUGGACAAUGGGCGCAAGCCUGAUCCAGCCAUGCCGCGUGAGUGAUGAAGGCCUUAGGGUUGUAAAGCUCUUUCAGUGGGGACGAUAAUGACGGUACCCACAGAAGAAGCCUCGGCUAACUUCGUGCCAGCAGCCGCGGUAAUACGAAGGGGGCUAGCGUUGUUCGGAUUUACUGGGCGUAAAGCGCACGUAGGCGGAUCGUUAAGUCGGGGGUGAAAUCCUGGAGCUCAACUCCAGAACUGCCUUCGAUACUGGCGAUCUUGAGUCCGGAAGAGGUGAGUGGAACUCCUAGUGUAGAGGUGGAAUUCGUAGAUAUUAGGAAGAACACCAGUGGCGAAGGCGGCUCACUGGUCCGGUACUGACGCUGAGGUGCGAAAGCGUGGGGAGCAAACAGGAUUAGAUACCCUUGUAGUCC
rnacentral:rRNA from 1 species